AAGAAAGUUACAAACCUUAUUUCUUCUUAUAUAUAAGCCGUUGAAAUCAAGCUUGGUGCUCUACACAGCUAUGGCUUCCAAUAAUGUUCUAUGCAAACUAAUAAUGCUCAUCUUAGUUACCAUCAUCUUUGCCUCCAAUAAUGUUGCCACAAGAAACUUGCUCUCUAUGCCUCAUCUCGCUAAUGUGAAGCGUGAUGAGAUUAACAAUCCUCCACAAACAGCAGAUGAUGAACCAUGGGAUGGAAACAUUCGAGUAUAACACCGACUUUCUUUCUUUUCUUUUGUUUUAACUAGAAUUUCUAUGACUUGUUAUUUCCAUACAAUUAAAAUAAGAAAUUAACUUGGGUGUAGUUGGGAUGCACUCGUGUGCAUCCCAAAAUAUCUUUUUUCAAAAUUUGUAUUUGUAUAAGCAUAGCGGUCAUGUGCAAGUUAGGUUGGUGUUGUACUUAAUCGUGACUCGUCGAAUGAAAAUUUAAACUUUCGAUCUUAUGAAUAUACUUUUAAUUGUUG